UUCCGGUUGAUCCUGCCGGAGGUCACUGCUAUUGGGGCUCGGCUAAGCCAUGCGAGCGGAGGGCGCGGUCGCAAGAUCGUGGCCCCGCACACGGCUCAGUAACACGUAGUCAACCUACCCUUGGGACGGGGACAACGCCGGGAAACUGGCGAUAAUCCCCGAUAGGUGAGGGAUGCUGGGAUGCUUCUUCGCUCAAAGCUCCGGCGCCCGAGGAUGGGACUGCGGCCUAUCAGGCUGUUGGUGGUGUGACGGACCACCAAACCUACGACGGGUACGGGCGAUGGGAGUCGGAGCCUGGAGAUGGGGACUGAGACAAGGCCCCAGGCCCUACGGGGCGCAGCAGGCGCGAAAACUCCGCAAUGCGCGCAAGCGUGACGGGGGAACCCCAAGUGCCGUUGGUCUUUUGAUCGACGGCUUUUCGGAAGUCCAAUAAGCUUCCGGAAUAAGGGCUGGGCAAGACUGGUGCCAGCCGCCGCGGUAACACCAGCAGCCCAAGUGGUGGCCGCGAUUAUUGGGCCUAAAGCGCUCGUAGCCGGAUCAGCAAGUCCUUUGUGAAAUCGGACCGCCCAACGGUUCGGCGUGCAAAGGAUACUGUUGGUCUUGAGACCGGGAGAGGUCGGAGGUACUCUUGGGGUAGCGGUGAAAUGCUGUAAUCCUGGGGGGACCACCAGUGGCGAAGGCGUCCGACCAGAACGGAUCUGACGGUGAGGGGCGAAGGCUAGGGGAGCGAACGGGAUUAGAUACCCCGGUAGUCCUAGCUGUAAAGCAUGCGGGCCAGGUGUCUAGCGCUCCUUGAGGGCGCUAUGUGCCGGAGGGAAGCCGUUAAGCCCGCCGCCUGGGAAGUACGGCCGCAGGCUGAAACUUAAGAAAUUGGCGGGGGAGCACCACAAGGGGUGGAACCUGCGGGUCAUUU
rnacentral:rRNA from 1 species